AUGUCCGUCAUCAAUGCCUUUUCCGAGCUUUCUGCGUCCAAUUUCCACAUCAUCAACACAGCCAAUGUCGUGCUUCUGCCUAAAAAGGACGAUGCGGAGUCCAUAUCGGAUUUUAGGCCCAUCAGUCUCAUCCAUGUGGUUCCGAAGAUCAUCGCCAAAGCUAUGGCACGACGUCUUAGCCCGAAGAUGAACGACAUUGUUUCCCGCAGUCAGAGCGCUUUCAUCAAGUCUAGAACUAUCCACGAC
rnacentral:rRNA from 1 species